rnacentral:rRNA from 1 species
UACGUAGGGUGCUAGCGUUGUCCGGAUUUAUUGGGCGUAAAGGGCUCGUAGGCGGUCAGUCGCGUCUGCUGUGAAAACUCGGGGCUUAACUCCGGGCCUGCAGUGGGUACGGGCUGACUAGAGUGCGGUAGGGGAGACUGGAAUUCCUGGUGUAGCGGUGGAAUGCGCAGAUAUCAGGAGGAACACCGAUGGCGAAGGCAGAUCUCUGGGCCGUAACUGACGCUGAGGAGCGAAAGCGUGGGGAGCGAACAGG